UACGGAGGGUGCGAGCGUUAAUCGGAAUUACUGGGCGUAAAGCGCGCGCAGGCGGUUGUGUAAGUCGGAUGUGAAAGCCCUGGGCUUAACCUAGGAACUGCAUUCGAUACUGCAUAGCUAGAGUAUGGUAGAGGAAAGCGGAAUUCCCGGUGUAGCGGUGAAAUGCGUAGAUAUCGGGAGGAACAUCAGUGGCGAAGGCGGCUUUCUGGACCAAUACUGACGCUGAGGUGCGAAAGCGUGGGUAGCAAACAGG
rnacentral:rRNA from 1 species